rnacentral:lncRNA from 1 species
GCGGGAUGGGUUCUUUCGGUAUUAGGCCUUUGGUGCGAUGGGCCACCAGUGGACCGCAUGAUAGUGAAAACCCGCCUAACCUUGGGCUUUUUUUUCGAUUUUUCAACUGAAAAUAGAAAAAAACGAGAGAGACUGUGAGGAUGGCGAUCUAGUUUUGAUCUUCACCGACAAACUAUGGAGCUCCGGUGAUGGCGGUUUGGUGUUCGAUGAUUCUUCCGGUCUCCCAUGCGUCUUUGAUUCUUCCAGAACUGUGCGAGCUCACUUUUCACCGAAGAAACUGAUGGAGCUCCGACGAUGGGUUCUUCAGCGAUGGUGCUUCCAGACUCUUCUUCCUACAUGCAUGUCACAGGUAUUGAAAGAUUCAACAUAUUUUGUGUUUAUAAUAAAUUUUUGGAUCUAACUAUUUUUUUAGGUUGUUUCUCUUCGAUCCACCACCGGAGCUUCUAUUCUUCUUCGAUCCACCACCGGAGCUUCUCUUCGUCUUUGAUCCACUACUGGAGAUUCUCCUUCGCUGCAUGCAUGUUCAUCUUCUUCUCCUCUUCACUGAACGUGUACACAAUUCUUCAUAUUUCAGGCUAGCUAGACUGAUGUUUAGUUGCAAUUAUCUUUGUCCCGGUUAGCUUGAUGUUUAGUUACAUUGCUUUGCAAACAACAAACUAAAAAGUUCUGCACCAUUUAAACAUGUACAACUAAAGAACAACAAGAAACUACUUAAAACUACGAUUGUAAACAAAGCCAUUUAGAUUCUAAUUCAAAUUUGCAUCUACAAAGCGUACUGAUCAUGAAGUUUAGAUGGUGCAGGCAAUGGAAGAUCAGACGUCCAAUGGGCUGACCCGCAAAGGCCCAUACAUAUAGCAGGCGGGUUUGGGCAGCCAUUUCGGAGACCGGCCCGCGCAGGUCUGGCCCUCCAUGAUUCGCUUGAAGCCAUUCUUGCUGCGGUCCGGGACGGGACUGGACAACUUUUUUGCCAUUUCUAUAGAGGAGCUCUUUAUUAUAUCAUCUUACAUAUGUUUAUUUUUUACUUGUUUAUUUCUAUUAUGUUUUGACCCACAUGACUUUACUUGGGAAGUUAUUUCACUAAUUGUGACUGAUUUAUUACUGUCAUUUUUAUGCACUGAAGCAUAUGUGUAUAAGUCUUUAUUACUAGCCCGCUUAUUGUUACCACCAGGUAGAGCUCCAACGCAAUAAGCAAGUUUUAAGAGUGAAAAGAUGAUUUCUAAAAUAUGUGGAAACCCAGCUAGAGAGACC